rnacentral:rRNA from 1 species
CCCUUAGACGUUCUGGGCCGCACGCGCGCUACACUGACCAGUGCAACAAGCAUCCGUCCUUGGCCGACAGGCUCGGGCAAUCUUUGAACGCUGGUCGUGAUGGGGAUAGACUUUUGCAAUUUUUGGUCUUCAACGAGGAAUUCCUAGUAAACGCAAGUCAUCAACUUGCAUUGAUUACGUCCCUGCCCUUUGUACACACCGCCCGUCGCACCUACCGAUUGAAUGGUCCGGUGAAAUCUUCGGAUCUGAGAGAUGUCUGAUUAAUUUCGGACGCCUUUUGGAAAAGUUGUUUAAACCUUACCAUUUAGAGGAAGGUGAAGUCGUAACA